GGAUUUUUCAUGCCAUCUGAAAAUGACGAUGCAACCUGCGUAUCUAAUUAUCUAUUUACGUAGCCAAAGUUGAGUUGUGUUCAUCUUUGACGGAUGCAUUUCAACAAGGCAUUUCAAAAAACUUCCGUGCGAAUUUUUAGCUGAUUUCGAGCAACUACAGACUGGCAAUCUUGCAGUAGGGGUUGCUUCAAGGACUUAGUC
rnacentral:lncRNA from 1 species